GACGAACGCUGGCGGCGUGCUUAACACAUGCAAGUCGAACGGUGAACGAGGGCGCUUGCUCCCUCCGGAACAGUGGCGCACGGGUGAGUAACACGUGAACAAUCUGCUCCGAACUCUGGGAUAAGCGUUGGAAACGACCUCUAAUACCGGAUACGACGCGGCAGGGCAUCGUCUCCGCGUGGAAAGCACUUCGGUUCGGGGUGAGCUCGCGGCCUCUACGCUUGUUGGUGAGGAUGCGGCUCACCAAGGUGUGAAGGGAUAGCCGGCCUGAGGGGGUGCCCGGCAACACUGGGACGGAGACACGGCCGGGACUCCUAGGGGAGGCAGAAGGGGGGAAUAUUGCACAAGGGGCGCAGGCCUGAUGCAGCAACGCGGGGUGGGGGAGGACGGCCUUCGGGUUGUAAACGUCUUUUGGCGGGGAAGAGGCGGAAGGGACGGUACCGGCAGAAAAAGCACGGGUAAAUUACUG
rnacentral:rRNA from 1 species